GGACAGCUGUGGUGGCGAAUCAAAAUUGUGGAACGAAAAGAAAAGCAAAAGGAUUGCAGAUCUGGAAAAGGUACAAUCUUAUCACAAUUCCUAACCAAACACAAUGAGAUCUAUUGGAUGGGAAUCGAAAUAAUUUUAAAUUCCGCUGUGCAUGUAUAAGUAGAUUCCCAACAGGUUUGUUAUUAGAUUCCUAAAUAACCUAAACCAAAAAGGGAUUACAUUAUUAAGUUCAAAUGUGACCUAAAAUAAGAGUAAAAAUUGUAACUUUAUGAUCCAAGAUUGCUCUUUCUGAUCAUUUGAGAUCGAAAGAGUUUAUACUUUUGAAUCAAGGAUUUGUAGUAAAUCUUGAGAAGACCGGUCAUGAUGAUGAUACUGUGAGCCUAAACUUUUGCAAUUAUUAUUUUUAUAGUUUUACAUUAAUCUACAGAUGUACUUGGUCUUUGGCUUUCGGCCUAAACUAUCAUUUUAUCACUUUGCCUCUAGCGAGACUUAUAUGUGCAAUAUAUAUAACUUUUUUGGCAAUCUAUUUGAUCUACUUUUCCAUUUUCAAUAUAGGGAAGUGCUAUUUUGAUUGUAUUCCUUGUAUCUGCUAUGUUUCAUCAGGUAUGAUGCCUUUUCCCGCUUUCUCAUUUCAAUUUAUAUUUAUGCUCCCAUAUCGCUCCUUUUAUCAACUUUUGUUUGAUUACCGUCGUGCAUUGCCAUACCUUGCCACAUAUUCAAGUUUUGGGCAUUCAUUGGCCUUAUAUUUCAGGUUAUAGCAGUUUUAACUUGCAUUGCUGAUUAAAGAUAUCAUAGUUUUGAGAUUUAGCCUCAGUUUGAGCCUCAUUUUUUUGUUCAAAAUGCAUUUUGAAAUAGUAUUUUGCUGAACCAUUUAUGCUUAAAAAAUAAGAAAAAAUUUUGGGUUUUCGUGUAAAAUUAUUUUGUGGAAGAAUGUGUAUUUGAAAAUGAGUUUUGAAAAAAUGGGAGCCACACGUGGGCUUAGUAUUAUUCAUGAAUUCUGAUUUCGCCAUUGAACAGUUUCCUCUUAUUAUCAUAACAAAUUACUUGCAAGACAAGUUCAAAAAUUCGAUGGUACGUUUUUUCCUCUUUAUAUCACUCUUGUUGAGUUCUUUUUUCUGUCCUCGUCAAUUCUGGCAAUUUUUUUUUCUUUUUGUUUUUUUAACCCUACUUUGAGUUCUCAAGUUGCACGAAUAUGCAUUAUGGUUUGGGGAACAAAUUUUUUAUUAAAUAGGGGAAGUAAAGUUCGAUUCCGUUAGCAGCACUUUCGCUGAAGUAGUCUUAUAGUUGCUUAACGAAUUGAAGUAAAACUUCUUGGAGUAUUUAUUCGAACAGGAAGUCUUGCUCUUCAUUCAUAUUAUUUCGCCCCAAUGGUUUAUUUGCUCUCUAAUCUAAAAACGACGCUCGUUUUUCAUCUUUCUCCAAGUGGGCAACAUGAUAUUUUGGUACUUUUUCAGCAUACUAGGUCAACCCAUGUGUGAACUGCUAUAUUAUCACGACUUGAUGAAUUGAAAGGUUAGUACAAAAUAACAGCCCAGUAACAAUUUCUCUAAAAGAGAGAGAUUCCCUCGAGGUUACAGCUAACGGAUUACUCUCUUACUAUUUUCGAUAUGUUCCUAUAUUGGCUUUCGUGCAGCUUCGUCAUCCAUCCUGGCCAAGACGAGAUAUGAACUUAGUGCAAUACAAUUUUGAUUCAAAAUGUAACAUAUUAGCAUCAGGUAGUUACUUCAACUAGGUAAAUUUUUACUACAAGGAUUGUGAUGUAUUCAUAAACUUUUCUAGUUUUAAUGUUUCAUGCUACUCCCUUUGUCGAAAAAGAUAUGCCCCCCUCCUCCUCUUAUAGGUCACUUUCAUCGUUAGGGAUAUAAUUGAUUUUUAUGUAAUGCUAUUAAGCACCAUUGAUGUUUAACACUAGUUUAGAUGGAAUUACAGUAAUCAAAUUUGACUAAAAUUGGUCAGCAUCGGAACCACCUGGUCACAAUUUCAAUUUCUUGGACUUUAUUAAAAAUUAAUUUGUCUUAGUAGUUUAUAUCAACUGCUAAUAUCAAUUCUAAUGGCUGUGGUGCUAAUGGUGAUGAACGGCUCAAUUUUGAGGAAGAGUGGUGAUGAAUGGCUAGAGUGGGACCGUCUAAACGAGGGAGGAUGUGGGCUUCUAUGAUGUCUGUGUGCAAAUUGGAAAAAUCGAUGGUAUUAUUGUGUUCCUCCAUUGUGGCUGCGGCGGUGGUAGACGGUGCAGUUGUGGCAUUCAUUUCUUGAAAUUUUCCUCUCUUUUUUCAAGCUUUUCAAAUAGUGAAUAUAUUUUAAAUGAUUGGACUCAUUUAUAAUUUUAAUAAUUUAGUUUGGGACUCAUUGGCACUUUUAAAAAGUUUG
rnacentral:lncRNA from 1 species